ACACUGAAAGAUGACAAUGUUUUAAACCUAUCAUUUGCUACCUAAGACUUUGUUUGCUUGUUAGAUGCCAUUUAAAAGGGGGUCAUUUGGGAGUACUUCCUUUUGUAACUGUAUGCAGUAUGACAUGUGGGCAGCAGGGGGAACCAUUGGAACAUUUUCUGAUCAGGCUAUGCAGAUAAUUGUCAUCACGGAUGCAGAGGACAAAUCCAAUGAGGCUAGUGGAGAUGGCCAGACCAGUCAGGUCCUUGAUCCUUGUGGGUGAGCUGAUGGUGCCUUUAGGACUUAGCCCGCUCUAGAAACCAGUUCAAACCAGGCUCCUCAUCCCUGUCAUAGGGAGCUCGGAUGGUGGAGCCCUGCUUGGUGGCUUAUGAGAGUCUGGGUGGCCUUGAGUAUAAGUCUUCACUGGCCAGAAAUGUUUGUGCAAAAUCCCCACAAUUCUGCUGAGGCAGAAUUGAAGGAGGGUUUUCAAUAACUAAUUUCAGUAAUCCAUUUGCUCUUGAAAAUAAAGAGAGUGUCUUGGUGCCACCCACCCCCCCCCCCCCCCACUGUACUCAACUCAGAAAGCACCUGCUGUGUCUCCUGGCAUGCACUGUGGACCACCUCCAGCAUUUUAUGACUGAGGCUUUGGGGCCCCUCAUCAGACUUGGACAUCACUGCCUCCCCCCUCCGCCCCUUUACAGAUCUAGGCCUAGCGUAAAGGAACAAGGACCUAUCAAUUGGGUGGCCCCUCACCUCAGAAGAAAUACUGUGUAGCCACACCUAAGAACAGUCUUCCAGCCUAGAGAGGGCCGCAUGGUGAACUGUAGACAGCACACUUUCUUUCCAGAUUCUGGUCUGAGUGGGAUGUCCCUCCUUGGAGUAUAUAAUAACAGUAUCCAUCAACAGAGACUCCAUUGAUAGAUUGAAAGAAUCCCCAAGGAAACACACAGCCCACCCGUCUAAGCAAAGUUUCUACCAGAAAUGCCUUUGCGUCCUUACAAAGAAACAGACUUUACCCACGGCAGAUCAAAAUGGCCUCACCUGCUCCUCAGCAGGCACAAAAUCAAUUUUCCGUCCCCUCUCACCUCCCAUUGGCCAGUGGAACUCAGUUACCAAGCUCCUCUUCCUGUUCCCUCGGUAACCCUAUUUGGUGAAAUUAGAAUUAACUGAGUUUAAUUCAAUGUAGCGCAAAGCCCAAUGAGAUUAGCUCUAUGGUUUCAGACCCGUGCUAGGAAACAGCACCCUUAUGUUCUGUAUUCGUCUUCCUAAACUUGACAUAACACCAGGAGGAGGGAAGGUGGGGGUACAUCCAUCUGCCUAGGUGCUCUGCACCCCCUCUCAGCAUGCACGCUCCUUCCUGGGGACCUGAAAUCCGAUUUCUGAAGCUUGACCCUGCAGGUCUCUUUACAAGAUGAAGUUACCCGUAGGUUCGUUUUCCAUGGAGUGUAAAACAAGGUGGCAAACUGAGCCCAAGCACAAAGGACUGACAUUCUUCAGUAACCUCUGCCGAUGGCAUAGAGUUUCUGUGUGGCACUUCAUGUCAUCUCUAUCCCUGCUGUCUCUGAAGCCUCCACAGACUCUCAGAUGUCCAGUGACCAUACCCAGAAAGGCCAUGUCCUCCUGACAUUGUAUUAUUGAAAUCCUAUUUAUCUCCAUUUGUUUUCAGUUAUAGAGUUGUUUGAGACAAGAUCUUUUUGUACAGCCCUGGUGUCAUGGCAGAACCCUGAGUGCUGAGAUUACAGACAUGUGCCACCAUUACUGACUCUAAUUAUCUUGAGCAAGAGCCCACAUUUUAGUUUUGUUCUGUACCCCCAAAACUGUAUGAUUAGUUCUAUCUUACCAUGACUUGUAUUUAAUCUUAUUUCUUUAAUCUCACUUUUAAAAAAUUAUUUUGAAAAUAAUAAAAUAAAUUUUUAAAAUUU
rnacentral:lncRNA from 1 species